CAGUGUCCACUUCUGGUGAACGGUCCACAUCGACUCCAGCAAAAGAACAGACAAGCCUGCUCCUGCUAGUACAAAGCUAUGCAGCAAGACCUUUGAAUUUGUCUCCCCACAAUUUCUCUCUGCAUUCAUGCUUAUGGAUGUAUGUAAGCACAGUCAGUGCCUUGAAAUGGAAAAAAAAACACUCUUAAUGAAAUAAAUAACCAAUCAAAUUUUA